UACGGUGAAUACGUUCCCGGACCUUGCACACACCGCCCGUCAAGCCACUGGAAGCCGGGUGUACCUAAAGUCGGUAACCGUAAGGAGCCGCCUAGGGUAAAACUGGUGACUGGGGCU
rnacentral:rRNA from 1 species